rnacentral:rRNA from 1 species
GUGGGGAAUUUUGGACAAUGGGGGCAACCCUGAUCCAGCCAUGCCGCGUGCGGGAAGAAGGCCUUCGGGUUGUAAACCGCUUUUGUCAGGGAAGAAAUCCUUUGGGUUAAUACCUCGGAGGGAUGACGGUACCUGAAGAAUAAGCACCGGCUAACUACGUGCCAGCAGCCGCGGUAAUACGUAGGGUGCGAGCGUUAAUCGGAAUUACUGGGCGUAAAGCGUGCGCAGGCGGUUUUGUAAGAUCGAUGUGAAAUCCCCGGGCUCAACCUGGGAACUGCAUUGGUGACUGCAAGGCUGGAGUGCGGCAGAGGGGGAUGGAAUUCCGCGUGUAGCAGUGAAAUGCGUAGAGAUCCGGAGGAAUACCGAUGGCGAAGGCAGCCAUCUGGCCUAAUACUGACACUGAGGUGCGAAAGCAUGGGGAGCAAACAGGAUUAGAUACCCUGGUAGUCC